rnacentral:rRNA from 1 species
GACGAACGCUGGCGGCGUGCUUAACACAUGCAAGUCGAACGGAAAGGCCCCUUUGGGGGUACUCGAGUGGCGAACGGGUGAGUAACACGUGAGUAACCUGCCCUUGACUUCGGGAUAACUUCAGGAAACUGGGGCUAAUACCGGAUAGGAAUCCUUGCUGCCUGGUGGGGGUUGGAAAGCUUCGGCGGUUUUGGAUGGACUCGCGGCUUAUCAGCUUGGUGGUGGGGUAGUGGCUUACCAAGGCUUUGACGGGUAGCCGGCCUGAGAGGGCGACCGGCCACAUUGGGACUGAGAUACGGCCCAGACUCCUACGGGAGGCAGCAGUGGGGAAUAUUGCACAAUGGGCGGAAGCCUGAUGCAGCAACGCCGCGUGCGGGAUGACGGCCUUCGGGUUGUAAACCGCUUUCAGCAGGGGCGAAGCUUGUGGUGACGGUACCUGCAGAAGAAGCACCGGCUAACUACGUG